rnacentral:rRNA from 1 species
CCUACGGGGGGCAGCAGUGGGGGAUAUUGCACAAUGGGGGAAACCCUGAUGCAGCGACGCCGCGUGAGCGAUGAAGUAUUUCGCUAUGUAAAGCUCUAUCAGCAGGGAAGAAGAUGACGGUACCUGACUAAGAAGCCCCGGCUAACUACGUGCCAGCAGCCGCGGUAAUACGUAGGGGGCAAGCGUUAUCCGGAUUUACUGGGUGUAAAGGGAGCGUAGACGGCAGUGCAAGUCUGAAGUGAAAGGCAAGGGCUCAACCCUUGGACUGCUUUGGAAACUGUGCUGCUGGAGUGUCGGAGAGGCAA